rnacentral:rRNA from 1 species
CCUACGGGAGGCAGCAGUGGGGAAUAUUGCACAAUGGGGGAAACCCUGAUGCAGCGACGCCGCGUGAGUGAAGAAGUAAUUCGUUAUGUAAAGCUCUAUCAGCAGGGACGAAAAUGACGGUACCUGAGUAAGAAGCCACGGCUAACUACGUGCCAGCAGCCGCGGGAAUACGUAGGGGGCAAGCGUAAUCCGGAUUUACUGGGUGUAAAGGGGGCGUAGACGGCAGUGCAAGUCUGGAGUGAAAGGCGGGGGCUCAAACCCCGGACUGCUCUUGAGACUGUACGGCUGGAGUGCAGGAGAGGUAAGUGGAAUUCCUAGUGUAGCGGUGAAAUGCGUAGAUAUUAGGAGGAACACCAGUGGCGAAGGCGGCUUACUGGACUGUAACUGACGUUGAGGCUCGAAAGCGUGGGGAGCAAACAGGAUUAGAUACCCCUGUAGUC